GAAGUUUGAGGCAAUAUCAGGUCUGUGAUGCCCUUAGAUGUCCUGGGCUGCACGCGCGCUACACUGAUGCAUGCAACGAGUAACGACCUUUGCCGGAAGGCACGGGUAAUCUUUUGAACGUGCAUCGUGAUAGGGAUAGAUUAUUGCAAUUAUUAAUCUUGAACGAGGAAUUCCUAGUAAACGCGAGUCAUCAGCUCGCAUUGAUUACGUCCCUGCCCUUUGUA
rnacentral:rRNA from 1 species